GAUGAACGCUGGCGGCGUGCCUAAUACAUGCAAGUCGAGCGAACGGACGAGAAGCUUGCUUCUCUGAUGUUAGCGGCGGACGGGUGAGUAACACGUGGAUAACCUACCUAUAAGACUGGGAUCACUUCGGGAAACCGGAGCUAAUACCGGAUAAUAUUUUGAACCGCAUGGUUCAAAAGUGAAAGACGGUCUUGCUGUCACUUAUAGAUGGAUCCGCGCUGCAUUAGCUAGUUGGUAAGGUAACGGCUUACCAAGGCUACGAUGCAUAGCCGACCUGAGAGGGUGAUCGGCCACACUGGAACUGAGACACGGUCCAGACUCCUACGGGAGGCAGCAGUAGGGAAUCUUACGCAAUGGGCGAAAGCCUGACGGAGCAACGCCGCGUGAGUGAUGAAGGUCUUCGGAUCGUAAAACUCUGUUAUUAGGGAAGAACAUAUGUGUAAGUAACUGUGCACAUCUUGACGGUACCUAAUCAGAAAGCCACGGCUAACUACGUG
rnacentral:rRNA from 1 species